GUGAGGAAUAUUGGUCAAUGGGCGAGAGCCUGAACCAGCCAAGUCGCGUGAAGGAAGAAGGAUCUAUGGUUCGUAAACUUCUUUUGCAGGGGAAUAAAGUGCAGGACGUGUCCUGUUUUGUAUGUACCCUGAGAAUAAGGAUCGGCUAACUCCGUGCCAGCAGCCGCGGUAAUACGGAGGAUCCGAGCGUUAUCCGGAUUUAUUGGGUUUAAAGGGUGCGUAGGUGGUUUGAUAAGUCAGCGGUGAAAGUUUGCAGCUUAACUGUAAAAAUGCCGUUGAAACUGUCGGACUUGAGUGUAAAGGAGGUAGGCGGAAUGCGUGGUGUAGCGGUGAAAUGCAUAGAUAUCACGCAGAACUCCGAUUGCGAAGGCAGCUUACUAAGCUACAACUGACACUGAAGCACGAAAGCGUGGGGAUCAAACAGGAUUAGAAACCCCAGUAGUCC
rnacentral:rRNA from 1 species